CGGACAUCACAGGCAGCAGCUUUAUCCAAUGUGCCAUAACGUUGGCCCUGAUUCUCAGAUCCUUUUCUUUGAGAUCAGGCUGGACAACUGGAGCUGAUGGAGCUGAAAUCAGAGCCUAGUUAACAACCCUCACUUCCACGCAGGAGCAGAAGGUCAUGAUUUCCACCUGGUGCAAAGCCUUCCUUCACCCGGGGCCCUGUGCUACAACAGGAAGAAGUGGUCCCUGCCUACCCGCAUUGAAAAUACUGUCUGGGUCACCACUAAUGGAUUGCAGCUUAUGUUAAAUGCAACCCUACUUGUCCUGAAAGCAUCCUGAUGUUGAGAUGUUUGCCCAUGAAGCGCACACUCACAUACACACCCACACACAUUUUCAGAUCACUUUGCAUAAUUUUUUAAGUCAAAGCACCAUGAACCUUGUAUCAUAGCCCAGAUUCAACUAUAUAAUUUAAAAUAAUCCAAAUUCAAAAUAUAUAAUACAAUUUUUCCUGUGCUAAUUUCAUCACUAUAAACAAUUAAAUAGGUUUAGGCUCCUUGUUUUUUAUAAAUCCAUGUACCUCUUCAUACAAGUAUUAGAUAUGUGGAGGAUUUCAUCAAUGAUGAUUUUCUAAUAUUGAAUUCAUCAUCGAAAUUAAGAAUUUAGCAAAAGUUUAAGUUUCUAGGCUAAGAAAUUUAGGCCAAUACCAAUUAUCAACAUUAGUAAUUACAUAUUAGGGGCUAGAGUUAUGGUGCAGCAAGUUGGGCCACUGUCUGCAAUAUUGGCAUCAAAUAUGGGAGCCAGUUGGAGUCUAUGCUCCUCCACUUCUGAUCCAGCUCCUUGUUAAUGUGCUUGGAAAAGCAGCAGAAGAUGGCUCAAGUACUUGGGCCUUUGUACCCAUGUGGGAGACCUAGAUGGAGUUCUAGGCUCCCGGCUUCUACCUGGCAUAAUCCUGGCCAGUGUGGCCAUUAAGAAUAUCUUUUUAUCUCUCUGACUCUACCUGUCUCACUCUGUAAUUCUGCCUUUUAAACAAAUAAAUAAAUCUUUUAAAAAUUAAAUAUUGAGAGG
rnacentral:lncRNA from 1 species